GGAUGUGAGGGCCAUCUGGCUGUGAUAUCUGUCACCCCAUUGAUCGCCAGGGUUGAUUUGGCUGAUCUGGCUGUCUGGGCAGGCAUCCUUCCUCCCUCAUUGCUCAACGUGCAUCCCUCCCAAAGCUGCAUACUCAGUCAGAGAUGACAGCCUUUCCCAAACAGAGACGGGCCGUUCUUCCUUCGAGGAUACACAAGUAGUUGCGCUUUCCUGCUAGGACCUCCAAACAAGCUCUUACGUUAGCAUCAAAUUAGUGGGAAAUUGCAAUGCUAACAGGAUAUAUAAUCAUUGUCCUACUCUCUGGGCUUAAU
rnacentral:snRNA from 1 species